CAGCAGCCGCGGUAAUACGUAGGUGGCAAGCGUUGUCCGGAAUUAUUGGGCGUAAAGGGCUCGCAGGCGGUUUCUUAAGUCUGAUGUGAAAGCCCCCGGCUCAACCGGGGAGGGUCAUUGGAAACUGGGAAACUUGAGUGCAGAAGAGGAGAGUGGAAUUCCACGUGUAGCGGUGAAAUGCGUAGAGAUGUGGAGGAACACCAGUGGCGAAGGCGACUCCCUGGUCUGUAACUGACGCUGAGGAGCGAAAGCGUGGGGAGCGAACGGGAUUAGAUACCCGAGUAGUCCCUGUCUCUUAUAC
rnacentral:rRNA from 1 species